GCGGUCUUUUUGAAGGCUUGGGUGGUGGUUUUUGUUAGCCGGUUAGCUUGUUGCUGCUGUUGCCACUUGAUUUUGUGAGGUGACUGUUGCCGUUAUUAUGGCGGAAAUAGCUGCCACCAUGGAAACGAUGACUGCAAUAAGGGCGGAAAUUUCAAAAUCUUUACCGCAGGGAUGAAGCAUAAGGUUAAAGAGUGGAUCUGAAAUUCUGCCGAUCUUUUGUAAGCUUUACCAGAAGCCAAAUAGAGGGAGGCAUUUUAGCUAAAUACAGAUGAAACAAGAUAGGGAUAGAGGGGUUACAUACUUGCAGAUUUGUCCAGGGCCAAGUAGAGAUCGAAGGCUCUGCCGCAAGAAGGAUGUUUCUGGACGCACAGUAGCACCCCCAAGACCUCCCAGCACCAGCAGCCACAAGCCGGGGACCACACAGCCCCCGUCCCGCAGGCCUCAACCCCACGCGUGCUCGCAGCCCUCAGCCCCGCUGAGUCCCGGAGUGGGACCCUGUGAGCAGCUGGGAUGACGGGAUCCGCGGUGGGAGGCGAGGCGGGGACAGGGAGGCCGGGGAAGACAAAAGGACCUUUGGCCACUGCGUAGCUGUUAGACUUGGUCGACCAGGCUCCCCUCCCGGCUCCGGGCAGCAGGCCCAGGCGCCCAAAGCUGCAGGUCUUUCGCUCUGAAACUUUUCCGGAGCUCUCAGCUUCGCUGGACCGGGCUUUGGAGGAGGAGGCUGGGCAGCCCGGAGGCCCAGGACCCCGAAGCCACGCUAAGGCCCGAUCAAAGGAUUGUUCGUCCUCAUCUGACAAGGCGGCGGCGCACAGGGUGGAGGCCGCCAUCUCAGACGGGAAAAGGUGGAUGGAAAAGAGACCAAGAGAAAAAAAUCAGUAAUUUAAUGACCUGGCUUUACUCAGAGAGUGGAAAUUCAAAUACAAGAUUCCAUACCCUCCCCUUCCUUUGCAUCAUCUUUGGAAAAAAAAUACAGGAAAAGGUGGGUUCUUUUGGAUUCCUACCAUGGAAGAGGACCUUGAAGGAGAAAAUUGGCAGACCUUCUCCAUUCCCUGGGGCUUCGGCAAGGUGGCAGAGGAUGAAGGAGAACAUAUUUGCCAGAUCAUUUUAGGUAUUUCGAAGGAUGUUCUCCAACUUGUAAUCAUUCCCAGGAGUGGUUUGUUUUCCUUCAUCCUACUUCACACAUUAGUCAUCGAUCGAUGAGAAGCCGCGCGUAGGUUGCCUACUCCAAGGAUAGAACCAUGAGGAAGAGUGUCUGAUUCAGAGCAGGAACUGAGACCCUGGAACCACCCUGCUCAACAUGGGAACCACUAGCCUUGUGUGACUAUUUAAAUUUAAAUAAAAGUAAAAAUUCAGAGCCGG
rnacentral:lncRNA from 1 species